rnacentral:rRNA from 1 species
CAGCGCCACAAGUGGCAAUCACGUUUAUUGGGCCUAAAGCGUCCGUAGCCGGUUUAGCAAAUCUUUUGUGAAAUCGUCAGGCUCAACUUGACGAAUUGCAGAAGACACUACUAAACUAGGGACUGGGAGGAGUCAGAAGUAUUCUGGGGGGACCGGUAAAAUGGUAUAAACCCCAGAGGACUACCGAUGGCGAAGGCAUCUGACCAGAACAGAUCCGACGGUGAGGGACGAAAGCCAGGGGAGCAAACCGGAUUAGAUACCCGAGUAGUCC